rnacentral:rRNA from 1 species
CCUACGGGAGGCAGCAGUAGGGAAUAUUGCUCAAUGGGGGAAACCCUGAAGCAGCAACGCCGCGUGGAGGAUGAAGGUUUUCGGAUUGUAAACUCCUUUUGUUAGAGAAGAUAAUGACGGUAUCUAACGAAUAAGCACCGGCUAACUCGGUGCCAGCAGCCGCGGUAAGACGGAGGGGGCAAGCGUUACUCGGAAUCACUGGGCUUAAAGAGCGCGUAGGCGGGAUAGAAAGUCAGAUGUGAAAUCCUAUGGCUUAACCAUAGAACUGCAUUUGAAACUGUUAUUCUAGAAUAUGGAAGAGGUAGGUGGAAUUCUUGGUGUAGGGGUAAAAUCCGUAGAGAUCAAGAGGAAUACUCAUUGCGAAGGCGACCUGCUAGAACAUAACUGACGCUGAUGCGCGAAAGCGUGGGGAGCAAACAGGAUUAGAUACCCCAGUAGUC